rnacentral:tRNA from 1 species
GUGGUGGAAUGUUUAACGCGUUGGACUUCGGAUCUAAAGAUUGGUGGUUCGAGUCCAUGUC